GUGCCUCACUCAGUGGUAGAGUGCUUGUUUGACAUGCUGGAGGCCCUGGGUUCAAUUCUCAGCAACACA
rnacentral:tRNA from 1 species